rnacentral:rRNA from 1 species
UCGAGGGGCAGCGGGGGAGUACAAUACUCCCGCCGGCGACCGGCGCACGGGUGAGUAACACGUAUGAAACCUGCCCGUAGCAGGGGGAUAAGCGGAAGAAAUUCCGUCUAAUACCGCGUAACAACCCAUGGAGGCAUCUCUGUGGGUUUAAAGGAAGCGAUUCCGGCUACGGAUGGUCAUGCGUCGCAUUAGCUUGUUGGCGGGGUAACGGCCCACCAAGGCGACGAUGCGUAGGGGUUCUGAGAGGAAGGUCCCCCACACUGGUACUGAGACACGGACCAGACUCCUACGGGAGGCAGCAGUGAGGAAUAUUGGUCAAUGGCCGCAGGGCUGAACCAGCCAAGUCGCGUGAGGGAUGACGGUCCUAUGGAUUGUAAACCUCUUUUGUCAGGGAGCAAAGGGCGCCACGUGUGGCGCUUUGCGAGUACCUGAAGAAAAAGCAUCGGCUAACUCCGUGCCAGCAGCCGCGGUAAUACGGAGGAUGCGAGCGUUAUCCGGAUUUAUUGGGUUUAAAGGGUGCGCAGGCGGAAUGUCAAGUCAGCGGUAAAAUUUCGGGGCUCAACCCCGUCGUGCCGUUGAAACUGGCGUUCUUGAGUGAGCGAGAAGUAUGCGGAAUGCGUGGUGUAGCGGUGAAAUGCAUAGAUAUCACGCAGAACUCCGAUUGCGAAGGCAGCAUACCGGCGCUCAACUGACGCUCAUGCACGAAAGCGUGGGUAUCGAACAGGAUUAGAUACCCUGGUAGUCCACGCAGUAAACGAUGAAUACUAACUGUCCGGGCAGAAUGAUGCCUGGGUGGUACAGCGAAAGCGUUAAGUAUUCCACCUGGGGAGUACGCCGGCAACGGUGAAACUCAAAGGAAUUGACGGGGGCCCGCACAAGCGGAGGAACAUGUGGUUUAAUU